AGCGAACGCUGGCGGCAGGCCUAACACAUGCAAGUCGAGCGCCGUAGCAAUACGGAGCGGCAGACGGGAGAGUGACACGUGGGAACGUACCCUUCAGUACGGAACAACAAAGGGAAACUUUGGCUAAUAUCGUAUACGUCCGUAAGGAGAUAGAUUUAUCGCUGAAGGAUCGGCCCGCGUCUGAUUAGCUAGUUGGUGCGGUAACGGCACACCAACGCGACGAUCAGUAACUGGUCUGAGAGGAUGAUCGGCCUCACUGUGACUGAGACACGGCCCGGUCUCCUGCGAGAGGCAGCGGUGGUGAAUAUUGGACAAUGGGCGCAAGCCUGAUCCAGCCAUGCCGCGUGGGUGAUGAAGGCCCUAGGGUUGUAAAGCCCUUUCGGCGGGGAAGAUAAUGACGGUACCCGCAGAAGAAGCCCCGGCUAACUUCGUGCCAGCAGCCGCCGCCG
rnacentral:rRNA from 1 species